GAUGAACGCUCGCUGUGUGCCUAAUACAUGCAUGUUGAACGGGAUGUAGCAAUACAUUCAGUAGCGAAUGGGUGAGUAACACGUACCUAACCUACCUUUAAGACUGGGAUAACUAUUGGAAACAAUAGCUAAUACCGGAUAUAGUUAUUUAUCGCAUGAUGAGUAAUAGAAAGGAGCUUCACAGCUUCACUUAAAAAUGGGGGUGCGGAACAUUAGUUAGUUGGUAGGGUAAUGGCCUACCAAGACGAUGAUGUUUAGCCGGGCCGAGAGGCUGUACGGCCACACUGGGACUGAGAUACGGCCCAGACUCCUACGGGAGGCAGCAGUAAGGAAUUUUCCACAAUGAGCGAAAGCUUGAUGGAGCGACACAGCGUGCAGGAUGAAGCUCUUCGGAAUGUAAACUGCUGUUAUAAGGGAAGAAAAAAUAGAAUAGGAAAUGAUUUUAUCUUGACGGUACCUUAUUAGAAAGCGACGGCAAACUAUGUGCCAGCAGCUGCGGUAAUACAUAGGUCGCAAGCGUUAUCCGGAAUUAUUGGGCGUAAAGCGUCCGUAGGUUUUUUGCUAAGUCUGGAGUUAAAUGCUGAAGCUCAACUUCAGUCCGCUUUGGAUACUGGCAAAAUAGAAUUAUAAAGAGGUUAGCGGAAUUCCUAGUGAAGCGGUGGAAUGCGUAGAUAUUAGGAAGAACACCAAUAGGCGAAGGCAGCUAACUGGUUAUAUAUUGACACUAAGGGACGAAAGCGUGGGGAGCAAACAGG
rnacentral:rRNA from 1 species